GACGAACCGAGCGAACGUUGUUCGGAAUCACUGGGCUUAAAGGGCGCGUAGGCGGGUGUGCAAGUCUGCGGUGAAAGCCUCCAGCUUAACUGGAGAAGUGCCGUGGAUACUGCUCAUCUUGAGGAGGGUAGGGGCAUCUGGAACGGUCGGUGGAGCGGUGAAAUGCGUAGAUAUCAGGAGGAACACCUGUGGUGUAGACAGCUUACUGGACCAUUUCUGACGCUGAGACACGAAAGCGUGGGUAGCAAACAGG
rnacentral:rRNA from 1 species